rnacentral:misc_RNA from 1 species
UACACAUUGAUGGCUUUUCUGUUCAGGUGCAUUCAAUAAGAGUUUUAAUUUUAUGCAGUAGUUGCCAGAACUACUAUUAUUCAUGGCCUCUUUGUGCUUAGUUGUUCACUUACAAUUGUCCUUCUGACUUUUGAUGUAUUAUGAAGAAACCUCUUUUUAAAAUGGCAAGCAGCAUUUUUCUUGUAUUCAGCUUUAAUAUUUUCCUCAUCCAAUUUUUCAAAUUUUUUUUUUCUUGCAUUUAUGUACUUGUUAUGGCAUGUAAUUUGUGAAUCAACAAUAUUACAUGGGUUUCAAGAAAGUGCCAUAGUCCAGCAAUUUUAGCUGCUCAAUUCUCUAUGUGCUCACUUCACAAAAUCCAGAUUCUGAUCUUGGUGAACCCUGUAUGUGAUUAAUAGGUUUUCUAUAAAAUGCUAGUUUUGUUGGUCAAGUAGUUGCAGAUGUUAAUAUUUCGUUUGUCCUUUAAGUGGCUGGUGAUUAAUGCUUGUGUCUUUGUUCCAACACAGAUCAAUUCAAGGCCAUAAAUGAU